GUGUUCUCUUUGCUUUCAGCUUCUUUACAGUGUUGCCUUGUGGCAUGGAGUUCAAGCAGCAUUGUACAGGGCUAUCAAAGCAUGG
ensembl:miRNA MIR107 microRNA 107